rnacentral:rRNA from 1 species
UACGAAGGGGGCUAGCGUUGUUCGGAAUUACUGGGCGUAAAGGGCGCGUAGGCGGCGUGUCAAGUCAGGCGUGAAAGCCCCGGGCUCAACCUGGGAACCGCGCUUGAGACUGGCAUGCUCGAGUUCGGGAGAGGAUGGUGGAAUUCCCAGUGUAGAGGUGAAAUUCGUAGAUAUUGGGAAGAACACCGGUGGCGAAGGCGGCGACCUGGUCCUUUUACUGACGCUGAGGCGCGAAAGCGUGGGGAGCAAACAGG